GGAGGGUGCAAGCGUUAAUCGGAAUUACUGGGCGUAAAGCGCACGCAGGCAGUUUGUUAAGUCAGAUGUGAAAUCCCCGGGCUCAACCUGGGAACUGCAUCUGAUACUGGCAAGCUUGAGUCUCGUAGAGGGGGGUAGAAUUCCAGGUGUAGCGGUGAAAUGCGUAGAGAUCUGGAGGAAUACCGGUGGCGAAGGCGGCCCCCUGGACAAAGACUGACGCUCAGGUGCGAAAGCGUGGGGGAGCAAACAGGAUUAGAUACCCUGGUAGUCCACGCCGUAAACGAUGUCGACUUGGAGGUUGUGCCCCUUGAGGCGUGGCUUCCGGAGCUAACGCGUUAAGUCGACCGCCUGGGGAUACGGCCGCAAGGUUA
rnacentral:rRNA from 1 species